UACGUAGGUGGCAAGGCGUUAUCCGGAAUUAUUGGGCGUAAAGCGCGCGCAGGUGGUUUCUUAAGUCUGAUGUGAAAGCCCACGGCUCAACCGUGGAGGGUCAUUGGAAACUGGGAGACUUGAGUGCAGAAGAGGAAAGUGGGAAUUCCAUGUGUAGCGGUGAAAUGCGUAGAGAUAUGGAGGAACACCAGUGGCGAAGGCGACUUUCUGGUCUGUAACUGACACUGAGGCGCGAAAGCGUGGGGAGCAAACAGGG
rnacentral:rRNA from 1 species